rnacentral:rRNA from 1 species
UUACCAGCUUGACAUCUAUGAAAGCUUCGGACAGGUGCUGCAUGGCCGUCGUCAGCUCGUGUCGUGAGAUGUUGGGUUAAGUCCCGCAACGAGCGCAACCCUGUGUUAGUUACCAGCGUACGGGACUCUAACAGACUGCCCAGAUCAAUGGGAGGAAGGUGGGGACGACGUCAGGUCAGUAUGGCCCUUACGCUGGGCUGCACACGUACUACAACGCAGUACAUGAGCCACCGCGAGGGGAGGAAUCUACAACUGGCUCAGUUCGGAUUGGAGGCUGCAACUCGCCUCCAUGAAGCUGGAAUCGCUAGUAAUGGCAAUCAGCACGUGCCGUGAAUACGUCCCGGGUCUUGUACACACCGCCCGUCACAUCAUGGAAGUCGGCGACCGAA